AUUGAACGCUGGCGGCAGGCUUAACACAUGCAAGUCGAGCGAGUGGCGGACGGGUGAGUAAUGUCUGGGAAACUGCCCGAUGGAGGGGGAUAACUACUGGAAACGGUAGCUACUACCGCAUACCAUCAGAUGUGCCCAUAUGGGAUUAGCUAGUAGGUGGGGUAAUGGCUCACCUAGGCGACGAUCCCUAGCUGGUCUGAGAGGAUGACAAGCCACACGGGAACUGAGACACGGUCCAGACUCAUACGGGAGGCAGCAGGGGGGAAUAGUGCACAAGGGGCGAAAGCCGGAUGCAGCCAUGCCGCGUGUAUGAAGAAGGCCUUCGGGUUGUAAAGUACUGUCAGCGAGGAGGCGUUACUCGCAGAAGAAGCACCGGCUAACUCCGUGCCAGCAGCCGCGGUAAUUC
rnacentral:rRNA from 1 species